GGUACGGCAAGAAGGGGCUGGUUCCAGGUGGUGCUCUGGCUCUGGAGUUGGGACCACAGGAGCAUGUGGUUCCAGUGUCAGUACCAACUGACGCUCUAGAAUUUCAGGAGAAGCCAGUACCAAUAAAUUAAGUAACUCCCUGUCUUCCUUGAAUGCCUGGGUGUUAAUGGCACCGGAAAGAGUUCUUGAGCCUGUGGUAUUGAGAGGUGUGUCAAUGCUUUGGGAAUUGGUCUCUGUGGACCCUUCCUGGGUACUGGAGUCAACAAUCCCUCCUGGCCUAGAGAAUGCUCCUGGAGAUGUAACUUUUUAGGGCACCCCAUGAGUCUUUGGUGCCUUCCUCUUGGAAGGUCCUGGUAUGGAGUCGUUAGGAGAUUUAUGCAGUCUUUUCUUAGGUAUUGGUGUAAUAAUCUUAGGUAUCUUGCUGAUGACUCUAUAAGAACUGGAAGAGCAUUCCUAACUCUCAUGUGCUCAGUACCCAUUUGGUGAGGCAGCCCUGGCAGUCCUGUUCUUUUUUGAAUGUGGUUUGAACUGCUUACACUUAUCACAUUGGUCACUCACCUGCAUCUCUCCCAGACACUUAAGGCAGCUGGGAUGAGGCCUAUUCACUGGCAUAGAGCUGUUACAUGAAAUACAGGCCUUUAAGCCAGAAAAAUGGAGCAUCAUUCCAGCACCGAUUCCAAUUCCAAAUUUGGCAUUGGUAACCACAAACUAAAAAGAUUGUAAAUUUAUACCAAUAACUAACUAUUUACAGAACUACUAUACAAGACUAAAACUAACACUGAGUGAGCUAUAUACACUAAGGGAGGGAAGAUAGGAAGAAGUUAAGAUUGCAGCUCUAACUGGUGGUAAGAAGUAACUGAGGUUGGGUCGGGGGCAGCACAGCCCUUUCUGUGUACAGUGGUGAGAUGCACCAGGGCGCACUCAUGCUCCCCUGGUGGGUACUGACAACUAUGCACAAGGCACACACAAACCUACAGGGGAAUGGACAUGUGCAAUCCUUCAAAGAAGACUGGAAAAUAAUUUCUCUCUUUCCUUCUUACUUAUCUCUUGUGCAGUUUUCCUUCUCUGAUCUUCUCAUGAUAAUCCUUUGGUGCCCUUUUCAUACUUGCACAGUGACUUGGCUGAAAAUUGUUGUAAAUUUUAAAAUAAUAUAAUAAUGGCUCAUAUGGUCUUUUCUCACUCUGCUGAGUAAAAUAGCCAAUUGAAGGGCUCUGGAAUGGCAAUCAGGCGACCUGGGUUGUAUUUUCCUCUCUGCCUCUGACCUGCUAUCUCCAUCGACAAGUCACGUUGUUUCUGCUUCUCUCCAUCAUUUUAUCAUACUUGUUUUGACUGUCUAGAUUUGAAGCUCUUCAAGGUACGGACUGUUUCUUACUCUGUAUUUCUAUAGCAACUAGCACAGUGGGAUCCCCAGUGGGAUUGGGGUAUCUAGGCACUCUCUUAACACAAUAAUUAUUGCUAUUAUUUCAGAUGAUAGCUGAGCAUGUAGUAGGGAAGAUGUUUAGAGGAAAUGCCUCAUUUAGCCGGUCAGCAGCAGUUCAAAGGGAAGGUAUGAGUGGGGUGCCACAUUAGAGAUUUUAGUUCUAAUAAUGACAUUUGUUUCCAUAGGUCCCACAGUGCAUAAAGCAUCCACACUCCAUACACAGAAAGAGAGAGGUGGAGAGAGAAAUAAAGAGGAUGAAAGACCGAGAGAACGAGAAUGACUAUCAAGGAAGACCAGGAGAUGCCAUGAGGAUCAGAAUCGGUCUUGCACCUGACAGUGCAAAGAAGCAGAGAUUGAAGUUCUUAUUUAAGGCCAGAUUGUGAAACGUAGUCCCACUCAGAUAGAACCACUGUCUUCAGUGGAACUGCUAAUAAGAGCGAGCUCACCAUGAACCUGGGCUGCUUUGUUUCUGCCUCAACAGGAAGUGUCAUCAGAAAUCAAAAACUCCAUCUAGAGUGUACACAAAAUGUGGCAUCUCUACACUUCUUGGAAGACUUACUCCAUGGCAUGGCUGUAAUCCACAUUCUGUCCUAUAAUCUGUUAACCGCAGGGAAAAAUCGAAGUCAUAUCCAUGUGAUUUAAUUCAAGAUGUUGAAGGACCUCACGGUUCUACCACACCCUGCCUCAGGAAAGGAGCAGUAAAGGUGGGUCCUUCAGGUCUGCCUAGAAGGACUGCAAGAAAACAGCCAGUCAGCACAGCAGGCUCAGUUAAAAGGAGCCACUGAGCAGGUCAUUUUCUGGCUGGGACCAGAAGGGCUAAGACAGAGGGACUCUCCAGACAAGGAGGCCUGGGAGAGACUGCGCAAACAGGUAACAGACAGACCCAAGGACUGUAACCCUAAGGUAAUGGAGGACAGUGAUGGAACAGAGUGGGAAGCAGCUCAGGGAAUGCAGCAGCAGCUACUAUUAAAGAAAGAAGCAUGUGACUGCUAUUUGUAAGGGCUGUAGAUGCGCUUUGGGUUCCCCCACUGGAAGGGUGGCCAAAGCCCUGAGAAGGGGACAAGCUUCAUUUGGAAGCUCAAGCACAGGGCUGGAAUUUAAAGGCCUUAUGGAUGGGGCUGAAGGCCCUGCAGAGGUCCAACCAUUUGCUGGACAUUUGUUACUCUGGCAAGGGUUCAUCCAUUUGAGACUAUGUGACAGCCUGAGGGUCAGUCACUGAAGAACCACCUGAACCCACCUGACAAGGGCAACAGCUGACAGGGGGCUCUGUGAGCAAAGAGAGAGUGCAGAUACACACCCAGCUGACAGGAGGUGCUCACUGCAGGAGAGGAAGAUCCCUGUUGCAACUGAGUUCCAUGCUAUAAAGCAAUUGCUGAAGAACUAGAAACAGAUUCCUCUGUAAUAAUGAGGGAUUCAACAAUACCACACAAGCUCAGUCCAAGCAAUUUCGGGACUUCCAUGGAACUGUUAUGGAUAUAUCUGGAGCAUAAUUAGGCUGGCAAACCACAGCUAAAGUGCUUCCUAUCUAUUUCCAGGGCAGCUGGAAUUAUGUUACUGUAUUUGAUUUAUGCAUCCAAACAAGCCACCGUAGACAAUAUGGAAAUCCAAGAAGCAGAUCUGUGAAAGGAUUAAUUUAACAACGUGUGGUACUUGUAUUAAAGUUAAAUUGAGUUAUAUGUAAAUUUACAAGGAAAAGAGGAGAAAAAUCCUACUGCAGGGUAUACACUACAGAGCAGGCCUCAUCUUUCUUCCAUUUGUUCUUAUUUUAGAGAGUAGAAAUUUGGGGAUUGUUGCCUAUCGGAAUCUUUUGGUAGUGUAUUUCCUAAGUCCAGGAGAAGCCACAGUGCAUGCUGCAGACCACUGGUCUCCAAUAUGGACCAUGAGAAGGGGCUUCUAAGUGCAAUUUAUAAUUAUCUGGUGUUAGGAAAGAAGCACUUCAGUUUCCUCUAGAGAAUGGGAAAAGUCCUACAUAUUAGUUGGCUUUAGGCGGUUUGUUAGUGGUAGCCCAAUACUUUCCCGACCAGAAAAAGAAAAGUUAAAAAAAAGAGAGUACAUUGGGGGGAAUUGUAUUCCCAUCCUCACCUAUGAUCAUGCACUUUGUGUAAUGACCGAAAGGAUGACAUCACAGGUGUAAACAGCAGAAAUGAGGUUUCUCUGCAGGGUGGGCUGGGCUUACUCUCCUACACAGGGUGAGGGGCUCGGCUAUUCAGGAGAGCCUCGGCAUGGUGCCACUACUCCUCUGGAUCGAGAAUAGCCAGCUGAGGUGGUUUAGGCAGCUGAUAAGGAUGCCACCGGGCAUGUCCCAUUGGGAGGAAGCCCUCGGGCCAACCCAGGACACACUGAAGGGAUUAUCUCUCCCAGUUGGCCUAGGAACGCUGGGGAAUCCCUGAGGAGGAGCUGGAACUUGUUGCAGAAGAAAAGGAGGUCUGGUCCUCCCUACUCUUCCUGCUGCUACUGCAACUCUUGCCAGGAAAAAUGGCAUAAAGAAAGAAGAAGAAAACAUACAUUGAGGUAGAAGGGGAUGACUGGCUAAAACCAAUUAAAGCUGGAACCAAGUGUCUGUAAAGCUUGCUUUAAUUUUGAAAAAACUCUGUUUAGGAUCUUAAUUCAGGUCAGAACUCAGUGGCCAUUCUUCAACAAAAAAACUUCAAAAACAGACUUCAGUGAGAAACUGCAGAACUGGAAUGAAUUUUCAAACUUGACACCAUCAAA